rnacentral:rRNA from 1 species
GCAGCCGCGGUAAUACGUAGGUGGCAAGCGUUAUCCGGAUUUACUGGGUGUAAAGGGUGUGUAGGCGGGACUGCAAGUCAGAUGUGAAAAUUAUGGGCUCAACCCAUAACCUGCAUUUGAAACUGUGGUUCUUGAGAGUCGGAGAGGUAAGUGGAAUUCCCGGUGUAGCGGUGAAAUGCGUAGAGAUCGGGAGGAACACCAGUGGCGAAGGCGACUUACUGGACGACAACUGACGCUGAGACACGAAAGUGUGGGGAGCAAACAGGAUUAGAUACCCC